AUUGAACGCUGGCGGCAGGCCUAACACAUGCAAGUCGAGCGGAUGAAGGGAGCUUGCUCCUGGAUUCAGCGGCGGACGGGUGAGUAAUGCCUAGGAAUCUGCCUGGUAGUGGGGGAUAACGUCCGGACACGGGCGCUAAUACCGCAUACGUCCUGAGGGAGAAAGUGGGGGAUCUUCGGACCUCACGCCAUCAGAUGAGCCUAGGUCGGAUUAGCGAGUUGGUGGGGUAAAGGCCUACCAAGGCGACGAUCCGUAACUGGUCUGAGAGGAUGAUCAGUCACACUGGAACUGAGACACGGUCCAGACUCCUACGGGAGGCAGCAGUGGGGAAUAUUGGACAAUGGGCGAAAGCCUGAUCCAGCCAUGCCGCGUGUGUGAAGAAGGUCUUCGGAUUGUAAAGCACUUUAAGUUGGGAGGAAGGGCAGUAAGUUAAUACCUUGCUGUUUUGACGUUACCAACAGAAUAAGCACCGGCUAACUUCGUG
rnacentral:rRNA from 1 species